AACGAACGCUGGCGGCAGGCUUAACACAUGCAAGUCGAACGCACCUUUCGGGGUGAGUGGCAGACGGGGGAGUAACGCGUGGGAAUCUACCCUUCUCUACGGGAUAGCUCCGGGAAACAGGAAUUAAUACCGUAUACGUCCUGAGGGAGAAAGAUUUAUCGGGGAAGGCUGAGCCCGUGUUGGCUUAGCUAGUUGGUGGGGUAAAGGCCUACCAAGGCGACGAUCCAUAGCUGGUCUGAGAGGAGGCUCAGCCACAUUGGGACUGCGACACGGCCCAAACUCCUACGCGAGGCAGCGGUGUGGAGUAUUAGGCGCUGGGCGCAAGCGUGGUCCAGCCGUGCCGCGUGAGUGAUGAAGGCCCUAGGGUUGUAAAUCUCUUUCAGUGGGGGCGAUAAUGACGGUACCCACAAAAGAAGCCCCGGCUAACUUCGUG
rnacentral:rRNA from 1 species